UCUCUGACCCAUAGUGGGUUUAUGUGAAUUAAAAGCCCACCAAACCUUAGUGGGCCGGAUCGGGUUCAACGUUUACAGCUUCAUUUCUCGUGGGCCGGGUCAGCCCAUUUAUAAGGUGGGCCAAAAUGGGCCGGACUGCAUAUACCUACACUAGGUAGCAGUGCCAGAAGAACAAACUAGAGCAUCUGCGUCUGCUGCUGCUUAUUCUCACGUAGUUCGAUUCCUCCCAGGGUGGUGGUGGUGGAGGUGCUGUCCCCUGUUCUUUUCAUUGGUGCAAAAAUGCCACAAGAUAUAACUUACCAACACCCUUUGUUUGGUGGCAAAAUAUCUUGCACGUUCCCCAACAGGUUCCAGGAUGUCAGCGACAUUCGAGAAGUCCCUGAUCAUCAGGUCUUGU